rnacentral:rRNA from 1 species
UACAGAGGGGGCAAGCGUUGUUCGGAAUUACUGGGCGUAAAGGGCGCGUAGGCGGCCCGCUAAGUCGAACGUGAAAUCCCUGGGCUCAACCCAGGAACUGCGUCCGAUACUGGCAGGCUUGAAUCCGGGAGAGGGAUGUGGAAUUCCAGGUGUAGCGGUGAAGUGCGUAGAUAUCUGGAGGAACACCGGUGGCGAAGGCGGGUCA